UACGUAGGGUGCGAGCGUUGUCCGGAAUUAUUGGGCGUAAAGAGCUCGUAGGCGGUCUGUCGCGUCGAAUGUGAAAACCCGGGGCUCAACUCCGGGCUUGCAUUCGAUACGGGCAGGCUAGAGUUCGGUAGGGGAGUCUGGAAUUCCUGGUGUAGCGGUGAAAUGCGCAGAUAUCAGGAGGAACACCGGUGGCGAAGGCGGGUCUCUGGGCCGAUAUUGACGCUGAGGAGCGAAAGCGUGGGGAGCGAACAGG
rnacentral:rRNA from 1 species